rfam:Dipodomys ordii contig_5939, whole genome shotgun sequence.
GGGAAUGUGGCUUAGUGGUAAAGUGCUUGUCUAGCAUGCAUGAACCCUGGGUUCGAUUCCUCAGUACCCC